rnacentral:antisense_RNA from 1 species
UUCUUUCAAACUCUUUUGUUAUUAAAGGUACAUCACUUUCUUUGAUAUUUCGUACAAACACUUUGUGUUUAUCGAUAGCCUG